rnacentral:rRNA from 1 species
UACGUAGGGGGCUAGCGUUGUCCGGAUUUAUUGGGCGUAAAGAGCGUGUAGGCGGCCUGGUAGGUCUGCUGUGAAAACUCGAGGCUCAACCUCGAGAUGUCGGCGGAAACCAUCUGGCUAGAGUCCGGAAGAGGAGAGUGGAAUUCCUGGUGUAGCGGUGAAAUGCGCAGAUAUCAGGAGGAACACCGGUGGCGAAGGCGGUUCUCUGGGCCUUACCUGACGCUGAGGAGCGAAAGCGUGGGGAGCGAACAGG